rnacentral:rRNA from 1 species
CAGGUCUUGACAUCCUCUGAAAACCCUAGAGAUAGGGCUUCUCCUUCGGGAGCAGAGUGACAGGUGGUGCAUGGUUGUCGUCAGCUCGUGUCGUGAGAUGUUGGGUUAAGUCCCGCAACGAGCGCAACCCUUGAUCUUAGUUGCCAUCAUUAAGUUGGGCACUCUAAGGUGACUGCCGGUGACAAACCGGAGGAAGGUGGGGAUGACGUCAAAUCAUCAUGCCCCUUAUGACCUGGGCUACACACGUGCUACAAUGGACGGUACAAAGAGCUGCAAGACCGCGAGGUGGAGCUAAUCUCAUAAAACCGUUCUCAGUUCGGAUUGUAGGCUGCAACUCGCCUACAUGAAGCUGGAAUCGCUAGUAAUCGCGGAUCAGCAUGCCGCGGUGAAUACGUUCCCGGGCCUUGUACACACCGCCCGUCACACCACGAGAGUUUGUAACACCCGAAGUCGGUGGGGUAACCUUUUUGGAGCCAGCCGCCUAAGGUGGGACAGAUGAUUGGGGUG